GAGCAACAAAAACCCAGCGCAAUCAAAAAUAAAUAAAUAAAAUGAAUAAUUUUUUUUAAAAAGAGUCAAGGAAAGGGUCUAAGUUAACAUUUAACCUUGGUAGGCUAUUUUAAGCACUCACUCAAGUUGUCAUGAGCUGAGCAGAUCUCUGGGAAGACUAAGCCCCAGCAUUUUGUGCGGGCGGGGAAGCCUCAGCAUCCACACCCCCACUGGGUGCCACCUGGGGCGGGAGGAGGGUGAGGUGAGGGAGGUGCUGGGCAUGCUCACUCCCAGGUCUCACCUGCAGGACCCUGAGAGUGGGCAUCUUCUUAAACCCUGCACCCUACACACGUCACUCGCCUCACCCUGUUGCUGACACUGACUCAAAGAUUUACUGCACUUUCAGAUGCACUAGAAUAUAGACCAACGUGCUCAGUAUUUUACAAUAGAAAGAAGCGAACUGUAGAGGCACCUCAUUUAAUCCACUGUUUCUCAAAUUAAUUUGAUCACAGAGCCAUUUUUUUUUCCCAUUUCAGAGCCCUUUCUUUGCCUACAUCUAUGACUUACUCUUUGGAACAGAGGGGAAGGCAGUGGACUGGGUCCGGACCCUUGGAUUCUGGACCGUAAUCUGCCUCUAGUCCCGCCUGCCUGACAUGACCACAUUUCCUCAUAAAGAAAUGCUCUUCAGAGCCUCUGCCAUCCUCGGCGACAUUUCUGAGGCAUUUAAAUGGAUUUCUCUGACCUCUCCCUCACCCUGGGAAGGCUGUGCUUGCACUUCUGUGAGCUCUGUAUGGAUAUGCUGACAGUCCUCGGGGAGUGGCUGGCCUCUGCCACCGUGUCGGGGAGGAAAAACUCUCUAACUGAGCAUCUGAGCACUCCAGCACUGACCCCGUGAGAAUCCUAUCAGAACUGCUCAUGCUCCACCAUGAAGGCGGCGGGCUGCAGCCAAGCCCUGCCCUUGCACCCCAGGCCCCCCACCCUACCCCCAUUAACCUUCCUGUCUUUUAACGGCCAGGACUCACACACGACUUUAAUAGAAUGCACUCCUGUUCUUUGAUCCAGGCUCUUUAACAUCCUCUGAAGAACACUGUAUGGGCAGCCCAGUAGGCUGCAAAUUGAGGAAGCAAAUUAUGAUUGCCAACCUCAUUUCACCAUCCUGAGUGGCCCCGAUGGAGCAGUCUUCCUGUUCAGAAGAUCACAGCAAUGUUCUGGGUAACGAUGGCUCAGCCCACAAGCGGAAAACCAAAGAGGGCAAUCUAAUGUCAGGCUCUGUCUUGGCUACUGACAAGGACAUUUAGGACACAGGAUUGUAUUUUUCCUACUAAUGACAGCAGCAUUUAGCAGCAGGCACACAUGAGUACACAGACCUUACAUUUUAUUUGAAGACCAUGAAACAACACAAGAUUAUAAGUCUUAUUCAGAAACAGAAGUGGAAAGGAGAAUUCAGUAUUUCUGUUUAGAGAAGAUACUUUAAAAGGACAUGACUUAUAGUGGGAAUGUCUUCAAAGUUUCGACAGAAAUGUUCAAGUGGCGAAGAAGUAUUAACCUUGCAAAAAGAAAUGUACCAGAAGACAUUAUCAAACGCUUUGAUGAAAUCAAAGUGUACUCUUUCUGCAGCACUUCCAAACUGAAUGCGUUCUGGUUAUGUUCCUUGGUGCCUACAGCCAGAAACAGGUAGGGCCUCACCAGCACCCUGACCCAUCCGUUCCUGUUACAGCAGACUUCUUAAGCAGCUAACCUGUGUUCUGGUCCAACUGAAUCCAGCUGCUCCUUUUACAAUUCGAGGAAUCUGCUUUUGCAGAACUUCAUUCCUAACGGUACAAUGCUGUCUUUUCUUUCUCUCCCAUGUCAUAACUUUUUAUUUAUCAGCCUUUGGACUCUCUUUCCCACCUUGGGAUUUUUCCUUUUCUUUAAAUUUAUUUUU